rnacentral:rRNA from 1 species
CAGUAGCCGCGGGAAUACAGAGGAUGCAAGCGUUAUCCGGAAUGAUUGGGCGUAAAGCGAGCGCAGGCGGUUAGAUAAGUCUGAAGUUAAAGGCUGUGGCUUAACCAUAGUACGCUUUGGAAACUGUUUAACUUGAGUGCAGAAGGGGAGAGUGGAAUUCCAUGUGUAGCGGUGAAAUGCGUAGAUAUAUGGAGGAACGCCGGUGGCGAAAGCGGCUCUCUGGUCUGUAACUGACGCUGAGGCUCGAAAGCGUGGGGAGCAAACAGGAUUAGAUACCCGCGUAGUCCCUGUCUCUUAUACA